rnacentral:lncRNA from 8 species
GGGAUCAACCUGUUACUCACCUCAAGCCCCGCCCACGUGCGCGCCUUCAGCCACACUCGAGUACCGCGUUACUGGAAAAUCAAACAAAAAAGCGUUAAUAUUCUCUGUUUACACUCGAUACAGCGUGUAAAUAUGAGUCCAGCGUAUAUUCUCCUCCUACACUGUACUCACAAACUGAAGAAUGAGUGAACUUCGGCAGUUUGGACCGUGAGCAGCUCCGCCGCCAGACUUCAGGAUUCCAGCAUCAGGGACAAGCACGUGCUUUAUUUUCAAUGGCGUCCGUAUUUUAUAUUUGUUUAUUUAUUUUAUUUAUUUUGAGUAUCAGACUGUGUAUUAUGUUGUAAACGCGCUGCGGUUGUAAUGAAGAGACCACAUGGAAACGUUUGGCGGAUGGUGACGUCAGCUGUACGUUCCUGGACCUGACAGGCUGACUAUUUUCCUGGUUUCUGGAAACAUCCUUCGCUGGACCCCGUACAAGGAAAAGGGAGGAGCAGCCGAGGUGGACGGGGGGAUUCUUC